UUAAACGCAAUAGCUUUUAUGCUCUUCUUAUAUACAUUCAUUUAGCACCAACAAGAUGGCAACGUCGUACCUGUUAGACCAUAAGCGCUUUUGGGCAAAGGCGAAGCCACUGAAGACAAGAAUUCUAGAAGGAAGUGAAGUUAUUCAGCAGAGCGACUAUCUAAAGGAUUUUCUGCUUCUAAUUCAGUCAGAUGGGUUAGAGGCGGCUUUUGAGGAAUAUGGUCAUGAUGAACCUCGCCCUCCUCCUCCAGAAAGUGCCUCUCGUAAAGUACCAGAAGAUGUCACGUAUGAUUAUGACGUCAUUGUUGUUGGGGCAGGUAUGGCAGGUCUCUCUGCAGCGUAUGAGUUAAAGAAGGCUGGGCUUUCAGUAAAAAUUCUGGAGCAAACUGGCCGUUUUGGUGGAAGGGUGUUCAGUUACGGCUCGAAUGAAGGUUUGGCAGAGGGUUUAUAUGGAG